ACAAACUUGGUCAUUUAGAGGAAGUAAAAGUCGUAACAAGGUCUCCGUAGGUGAACCUGCGGAGGGAUCAUUAUUGAAUAGGCCUCAAAAGGUCUCCAAACCCUUCAAACCUGUGGACAUAUAAAAAUGUGUUUCGGCGCUUAGGCGUCGUUUUUAUGCUAUAUCACAUAUAUUGAAGUCUAAAUUAAAAAUAAAAAAUUUAAAACUUUCAACAAAGGAUCUCUUGGCUCUUGCAUCGAUGAAGAACGCAGC
rnacentral:misc_RNA from 1 species